GAUGAAGAACGCAGCGAACUGCGAUAAGUAAUGUGAAUUGCAGAAUUCAGUGAAUCAUCGAGUCUUUGAACGCACAUUGCGCCCCCUGGCAUUCCGGGGGGCAUGCCUGUCCGAGCGUCAUUGCUGCCCUUCAAGCCCGGCUUGUGUGCUGGGUCGUCGUCCCCCCCGGGGGACGGGCCCGAAAGGCAGCGGCGGCACCGCGUCCGGUCCUCGAGCGUAUGGGGCUUUGUCACCCGCUCGAUUAGGGCCGGCCGGGCGCCAGCCGGCGUCUCCAACCUUCUAUUUUACCAGGUUGACCUCGGAUCAGGUAGGGAUACCCGCUGAACUUAAGCAUAUCAAUAAGCGGAGGA
rnacentral:misc_RNA from 1 species